CAAAGGGUGCUUUGGAGCCAGUUUGUGUAAGUAAGCUUGCAGUCCAAUUCGGGUAUAAAAACGGAAGACUAAUCGAACUGCCUAGCAGCUGGUUCCCCUGAAGUUACCCCCAGGAUAGCUGAAGUAGACCAAAAGCACAAAUAUAUUCGAUAAAGCGAAUUAUUAGAGGAAAUGGGAACAAAACGUUCGCAACUUAUCCUCAGACAUUCAGUGGGUAUGAAGUUUCGCUUGCUUAAAUAUUUUGAA
rnacentral:ncRNA from 1 species